rnacentral:rRNA from 1 species
CCUACGGGGGGCAGCAGUGAGGAAUAUUGGUCAAUGGACGAGAGUCUGAACCAGCCAAGUAGCGUGAAGGAUGACUGCCCUAUGGGUUGUAAACUUCUUUUAUAUGGGAAUAAAACGUUCCACGUGUGGGAUUUUGUAUGUACCAUAUGAAUAAGGAUCGGCUAACUCCGUGCCAGCAGCCGCGGUAAUACGGAGGAUCCGAGCGUUAUCCGGAUUUAUUGGGUUUAAAGGGAGCGUAGGUGGAUUGUUAAGUCAGUUGUGAAAGUUUGCGGCUCAACCGUAAAAUUGCAGUUGAAACUGGCAGUCUUGAGUACAGUAGAGGUGGGCGGAAUUCGUGGUGUAGCGGUGAAAUGCUUAGAUAUCACGAAGAACUCCGAUUGCGAAGGCAGUUCACUGAACUGCAACUGACACUGAGGCUCGAAAGUGUGGGUAUCAAACAGGAUUAGAUACCCUAGUAGUC